GCGAGUUACCACAGAACUCCAAAACCCUUUGUGAACCUUACCGCAGUUGCCUCGGCGAGUGCUGCGGCUAUAUCCCCUGUCCCCCGCCCGUCAGGGCUGCGGGGCAGGCUCUAGCCGAUCCACCAGCCCGUCAAAGGACCCGCUAUCUAAACUCUAAAUUGACUACGUAACUUCUGAAAACUUCCAACUUGAAAUAAGUUA
rnacentral:misc_RNA from 1 species